rnacentral:rRNA from 1 species
GAUGAACGCUAGCGGCAGGCUUAAUACAUGCAAGUCGUGGGGCAGCAGGACUGUAGCAAUACAGUUGCUGGCGACCGGCAAACGGGUGCGGAACAUGUACGCAACUUACCCUGAACUGGGGGAUAGCCCGGGGAAACCCGGAUUAAUACCCCGUAAUAUAAUGGAGUGGCAUCACUUUAUUAUUAAAGCUCCGGCGGUUCGGGAUGGGCGUGCGGCUGAUUAGGUAGUUGGUUGAGGUAACGGCUCACCAAGCCUACGAUCAGUAACUGGUGUGAGAGCACGACCAGUCAGACGGGGACCGAGACACGGGCCCGACUCCUACGGGAGGCAGCGGUAAGGAAUACUGUGCAAUGGAGGCAACUCUGACCCAGCCAUGCCGCGUGGAGGAGGAAGGCCCUCUGGGUUGUAAACUUCUUGGAUAGGAGACGAAACCUGUGUAUUCUUACGCAGUUGACGGUACCCUAGGAAUAAGCACCGGCUAACUCCGUG